CAGUCGCCACGGGAAUACGUAGGGUGCGAGCGUUAAUCGGAAUUACUGGGCGUAAAGCGUGCGCAGGCGGUUAUAUAAGACAGAUGUGAAAUCCCAGGGCUCAACCUGGGACCUGCAUUUGUGACUGUAUAGCUAGAGUACGGUAGAGGGGGAUGGAAUUCCGCGUGUAGCAGUGAAAUGCGUAGAUAUGCGGAGGAACACCGAUGGCGAAGGCAAUCCCCUGGACCUGUACUGACGCUCAUGCACGAAAGCGUGGGGAGCAAACAGGAUUAGAGACCCCUGUAGUCCCUGUCUCUUAUAA
rnacentral:rRNA from 1 species